UGCAGUGUGGGGGAUAGCUGUGGGAACCAGCUAUGGAGGGUCAGAUCUGCUUUGUCACAGGGGAUUUAUUUAAAGGAGGAGUGAGACUCGUGACUGUUAAUUACCAGACAUAGACAUACUGUAUAUCAUAGGGAAGAGACUACAGAGAAGGAAUCUGUAAAGGCGAUGCACUGCUUCUGCCGUAAGAAAAAGGCAGGAAUCAUCAUGUCAGAGUCCUUUUUCGUCCACUGAAAGAAUGAAUUGGAGGAACAAUACAGUAAGUUGGAACAGUAUUGGUAUAAUUCACACCUAUCGUUUUUAUUUCUGAAUCUACAGUAUACUCUUAGCUUUGAGAUUUAACAAGCCACGUGUCACACCUGCUGUAUAUUCUUCCUUUGUGCUGGCCUAAAUCACAAAUUCAGCCAAACAGAGCUAUAGCAGUCUUACAGUCUUAUAACAGUCUUUCUAACAUAAAUAAGCUCACAUUGCGCACACACAGGCAUGCACACAAAUGAAGCUUUUUGAAAUGUGCAAUCCAGUGGCCUCACAUGUGCAUAUUCACAGACUGUAUCUGUCUCGUCUGUUCCCGGAUUCAGAUUCAAACGCAGGAGAAUUAGCUCAGCCUGAUUCUGCUGUUAACGUGUUUAAGCUGCUGCCUUGGCUCAUCCUCACACAGAUUCUGGAUUUGGACGACAUGAGUGAUCGCACACUUAUGCUGUAAUUACGCAAAUCUGUGCCGCUAAUUCUAUUUCACUAAGCGUUUGUGCUCCUGCUAGCUGAGGUGAUCCUGUGGAUGAUCCACCGGCCAGCAUGCACAGAUGUACAUUCACACACAAAGAUGUACAGUACACAUUUGUAAGCUGGCACCUAAUAGGCUGUAUUUUACAUUAUUUUCCCUUCAUUCUCUAGGUGCAAAUUGAAAGUACAAUAUGUUUGCAAAAAUGUGCAUUUACACUUAAUACAUACUGACACUGGCCCUCUUACACAAUCCCACAUCUCUACCAUAUCUCACAUCUCAAAACAUCUAACUCAUCCAUUUUUCUUCAUCUAUUUUUUUGUGGAUAUAGGUACAAUUUUUAUUUAAAGGAAAUAUACAAAUUAAUGGCUUCUACUCAUCAUCCUCACGCUUCAUGAAAAGAGGAAUUGCUCUUAUUUUGUCAGACCAGUACUGCUGCUGCUAACAGGAGAAGCUUUCUGAUAAUAGGCUGUUCCACACUGUCACCUGUAAAAACAUUUGACCAGUUCUGAAUUUUCAAAACCACUUUUCCAUGAAAAGUAAAAAAAAACCAACAACCUUUGGAUAGAAAAAAUUUGACCAUGUUAUGAAAUGAACAUGUGCACCUCUACAUUCAUUUGUAUGUUAGAAGUCAAGGCUCAAGAAUACCACCUUGUGUGUAAAGUUGUCGUUCUGAGAAUUGAUAAAUUGAUAGAUUAUGACUGAUAACAUAUUUGCUGCAUUCCACCAUUUUUUUUUUUUGGUGAAAUGUGUUUGCAGGCCUCUCUCCUCCCCCCAGUGAAUUUGCUCUGUGCAUUAAUGUGUUUUGAAUGACAAUCAGUGGCGCUGCGCUUGAACUUGACCGACGGAAUUGCCUGGGAAAAGAGGCGCGACUUUGGCCCUUUGCUCCUCUCCUUUAUGGAGCGGAGGCUGUUAAGACUGAUGUCAGCGCUCAUUAGCAUAAACUUCAGCCUGUUCCCAAUUAAACCAGGAAAGCAGUAGGAACACCAGUCUGUUUUCACAUGGCAGGGAAUGGACCAACAUCUCUCCCUCACUCUGAGCAAGAAGCAGAAACAGCAGGAGCAGCUGCUGAAAUGAAUCUGUGGAGUGCAGAUAGAGUGCAAGUCACACAGAAAUACACACACCCCAUGAGCAGGCCUGUGUCUGGACCUGCAGGGGCAACAGGUCAGCGGUGAC